GAUAGAAUACUAUUGUUGUCGAAUUGCAUUUGUCCUAAAGCCCGUGAGUGAACUGCAUAUAAUGUGCGGCCCCCUUAAUUACCUGCAUAUAUAAUGUGCGGCUGUGUAAGCCCAAAUUUGCCGGCGUGACGUCAUUACUCCUCACUCCACCACACUCCUCCGCCCUUCCUCCGCCCCUCCUCCUCCGCUCUUCCUCCGCCCUUCCUCCGCCCCUCGGCCCUCCUCCCCCCUUCCUCCGCCCCAAAAAUCCGGGUCGAACGGUACCUAUAUUACUACUGGCGGCGGUUCAUGCAUGCAAAAUAAACGGAGAAAAUAGCUAUGCUUAAUGUAUCCCACGGAACUCCCC